GGAAGAAAACGAGAAGGGACGGACAAACACAAACUUCCAACUGGCAACAACUGGUUGUUGCCAGUUGGAAGUUUGUGUUUGUCCGUCCCUUCUCGUUUUCUUCC
rnacentral:pre_miRNA from 1 species